UACGUAGGGUGCGAGCGUUGUCCGGAAUUAUUGGGCGUAAAGAGCUCGUAGGCGGUCUGCUGCGUCGGUCGUGAAAACUUGGGGCUUAACCCUGAGCUUGCGGUCGAUACGGGCAUGACUGGAGUUCGGCAGGGGAGACUGGAAUUCCUGGUGUAGCGGUGAAAUGCGCAGAUAUCAGGAGGAACACCGGUGGCGAAGGCGGGUCUCUGGGCCGAUACUGACGCUGAGGAGCGAAAGCGUGGGGAGCGAACAGG
rnacentral:rRNA from 1 species